ACGGGUGAGUAAUAUAUCGGAACGUACCCAAGAGUGGGGGAUAACGUAGCGAAAGUUACGCUAAUACCGCAUACGAUCUAAGGAUGAAAGCAGGGGACCGCAAGGCCUUGUGCUCCUGGAGCGGCCGAUAUCUGAUUAGCUAGUUGGUGAGGUAAAGGCUCACCAAGGCAACGAUCAGUAGCUGGUCUGAGAGGACGACCAGCCACACUGGAACUGAGACACGGUCCAGACUCCUACGGGAGGCAGCAGUGGGGAAUUUUGGACAAUGGGGGCAACCCUGAUCCAGCAAUGCCGCGUGAGUGAAGAAGGCCUUCGGGUUGUAAAGCUCUUUUGUCAGGGAAGAAAAGGUCGUGGCUAAUAUCCACGGCUGCUGACGGUACCUGAAGAAUAAGCACCGGCUAACUACGUGCCAGCAGCCGCGGUAAUACGUAGGGUGCAAGCGUUAAUCGGAAUUACUGGGCGUAAAGCGUGCGCAGGCGGUUUCGUAAGUCUGUCGUGAAAUCCCCGGGCUUAACCUGGGAAUGGCGAUGGAGACUGCGAGGCUAGAGUUUGGCAGAGGGGGGUAGAAUUCCACGUGUAGCAGU
rnacentral:rRNA from 1 species